AUGCUCACUUCAGCAGCACAUAUACUAAAAUUGGAAUGAUACAAAGAUUAGCAUGGCCCCUGCUCAAAGAUGACAGACAAAUGAGUGAAGCAUCCCAUAUUUUA